rnacentral:ncRNA from 1 species
CGAGCCUCUGGAGAGAUCGUAAGUGUUGUGAUGAGUGUUUAUCAACAGCAACACAUUACGGCGCCGAAGGCGCAAGCCCCACAAUGACGUUUAUUGUGGGGUGAAACGCUCAGGCAAAAGGACAGAGGAGA